rnacentral:piRNA from 1 species
UGGUGUAUGAGAUCCAGUUUUGUUCCGAA